rnacentral:rRNA from 1 species
AUUGAACGCUGGCGGCAUGCCUUACACAUGCAAGUCGAACGGCAGCACGGGUGCUUGCACCUGGUGGCGAGUGGCGAACGGGUGAGUAAUACAUCGGAACAUGUCCUGUAGUGGGGGAUAGCCCGGCGAAAGCCGGAUUAAUACCGCAUACGAUCCACGGAUGAAAGCGGGGGACCUUCGGGCCUCGCGCUAUAGGGUUGGCCGAUGGCUGAUUAGCUAGUUGGUGGGGUAAAGGCCUACCAAGGCGACGAUCAGUAGCUGGUCUGAGAGGUCGACCAGCCACACUGGGACUGAGACACGGCCCAGACUCCUACGGGAGGCAGCAGUGGGGAAUUUUGGACAAUGGGCGAAAGCCUGAUCCAGCAAUGCCGCGUGUGUGAAGAAGGCCUUCGGGUUGUAAAGCACUUUUGUCCGGAAAGAAAUCCUUGACUCUAAUACAGUCGGGGGAUGACGGUACCGGAAGAAUAAGCACCGGCUAACUACGUG